CGAUACUUUCCAGCUUGCUGGAGAGGAAAGUGGCGCACGGGUGCGUAACGCGUAUGCAACCUACCUUCAUCAGGGGGAUAGCCCGGAGAAAUCCGGAUUAAUACCGCAUAAAAUCACAGGAUGGCAUUAUCCAAUGAUCAAACAUUUAUGGGAUGGAGAUGGGCAUGCGUGUCAUUAGCUAGUUGGCGGGGUAACGGCCCACCAAGGCGACGAUGACUAGGGGAUCUGAGAGGAUGGCCCCCCACACUGGUACUGAGACACGGACCAGACUCCUACGGGAGGCAGCAGUAAGGAAUAUUGGUCAAUGGAGGCAACUCUGAACCAGCCAUGCCGCGUGCAGGAAGACUGCCCUAUGGGUUGUAAACUGCUUUUAUCCGGGAAUAAACCUAAAUACGUGUAUUUAGCUGAAUGUACCGGAAGAAUAAGGAUCGGCUAACUCCGUGCCAGCAGCCGCGGUAAUACGGAGGAUCCAAGCGUUAUCCGGAUUUAUUGGGUUUAAAGGGUGCGUAGGCGGCCUGUUAAGUCAGGGGUGAAAGACGGUAGCUCAACUAUCGCAGUGCCCUUGAUACUGAUGGGCUUGAAUGGACUAGAGGUAGGCGGAAUGAGACAAGUAGCGGUGAAAUGCAUAGAUAUGUCUCAGAACACCGAUUGCGAAGGCAGCUUACUAUGGUCUUAUUGACGCUGAGGCACGAAAGCGUGGGGAUCAAACAGGAUUAGAUACCCUGGUAGUCCACGCCCUAAACGAUGAACACUCGCUGUUGGCGAUACACAGUCAGCGGCUAAGCGAAAGCGUUAAGUGUUCCACCUGGGGAGUACGCCCGCAAGGGUGAAACUCAAAGGAAUUGACGGGGGCCC
rnacentral:rRNA from 1 species